UGCUGAAUUAAUCUGAACAAACUCAUAUUUGUCUGAUAAACUCUUGUAAAGGAGGCUGAAGUUUUUCCUGCAGUUUAUUCCUCUGGUGUGUUUGUGUGUUCAGUGUGAGAUCAGGAUCAUGUGUGUCCAGCUCUGUGUCUCUGAAGAGUGACUGCUCAAAAGGUGGUCCUCCUCCAGACCUCAGUGAGAAAACACCAUCAUCAGUUAAAAGUGUGAGAUCAGGAUCAUGUGUGUCCAGCUCUGUGUCUCUGAAGAGUGACUGCUCAAAAGGUGGUCCUCCUCCAGACCUCAGUGAGAAAACACCAUCAUCAGUUAAAAGACACCUAGAGGCAGAUUUAGUUUCUUAUUCAGAC